UACAGAGGGUGCGAGCGUUAAUUGGAAUUACUGGGCGUAAAGCGUGCGUAGACGGUUAUUUAAGUCGGGUGUGAAAGCCCCGGGCUCAACCUGGGAAUUGCAUUCGAGACUGAAUAGCUAGGGUACGGUAGAGGGAAGUGGAAUUUCUGGUGUAGCGGUGAAAUGCGUAGAUAUCGGAAGGAACAUCAGUGGCGAAAGCGACUUCCUGGACCAGUACCGACGUUCAGGCACGAAAGCGUGGGGAGCAAACAGG
rnacentral:rRNA from 1 species